AAACGACCCACUGUGAGAAUCCUCAGACCCUCAGACGCUGAUCUCUCUGGACUCCAAAACACCCACCUUCUUAGCUUGAUCACUGGUUUCUUCCCAUCUGAUAUCUCUGUGCAGUGGAAACUAAAUGGGAUGCAACUGGAUGCAGCUCAGUUCACCAACAGUCCUGUGGUUGCUCACACUUCAGGACGUUUUGCAAUGCAUAGUGCUCUAAUGCUGCCUGCAUCAGAGUGGAAGGAUGGCAUGUUCUCAUGUGUUGUUUCUCAUGAGUCAUCCCAAAGUCCAAUCAUCAACACUUUAGAGAACUUGUAUGCCUCAUUGAUUCCCUCUGCUCCAUCUGCAAAGCUGCUGCAAGGAGUUAGUGAGCUGGUGUGCCUGGAAUUUGGUUUCAGCCCACCUGCCAUCAACAUCACCUGGUGGCUGGGUAAGACUGAGGUGUCAGCCCACAGGGUCACCAAACCUGCAAAAGGCCCUGAUGGAAAAUUUAGCAUCCGAAGUCACCUGGAUCUCCAAACUUCAGACUGGACACCUGGUGAGGUGUACUGUACACAUGCAGAGUCACUCAUGUUGCUGAUACCUUGGUGCUUAACAUUUCAAUGAAAACAGGUACCCUAGAUUUCAAGUACUAAAAUAUUUUAAUCAAGAAAAUAAUGAAGCUUUAAAUGUGAAUUUAUUCUUGUUUGCUGU